GAAUUCGAUUAACGCGAAGAACCUUACCCAGGCUUGAACAGCGAGUGACCAACUCCGAAAGGGGUCUUCCGCAAGGACACUCGUAGAGGUGCUGCAUGGCUGUCGUCAGCUCGUGUCGUGAGAUGUUGGGUUAAGUCCCGCAACGAGCGCAACCCUUGUCUGCUGUUGCCAUCACGUUAUGGUGGGCACUCUGCAGAGGCUGCCGGUGAUAAACCGGAGGAAGGUGGGGAUGACGUCAAGUCAGCAUGGCCUUUAUGUCUGGGGCCACACACGUGCUACAAUGGCAGGUACAAACCGUCGCGAGACCGCAAGGUGGAGCUAAUCGGAUAAAGCCUGUCUCAGUUCGGAUUGUCGGCUGCAACUCGCCGGCAUGAAGUUGGAAUCGCUAGUAAUCGCGGAUCAGCACGCCGCGGUGAAUACGUUCCCGGGCCUUGUCACACCGAAUCACUA
rnacentral:rRNA from 1 species